rnacentral:lncRNA from 1 species
UUAUUUUAUACGUCAGAAAACUUUGGGUAGACGUAAAAUCAUAUAUUGCUUAUCCAAAUAAAUUGUUAGUUUUAAAAACAGUAUAUCCAGUUGUGAUUAUAAUCGUACAUCAAUUAGUUCGAUAAUUUACCUCAUAUAUAUAUAUAUAUAUUAACUUUUGUAAUUGUAUGGAAUUGGAUUUAUCCAUUUUAAAUUGUGUUAACCUUACUCGUACACUAAAACUAGUCUAUAAGAAUGGAGUUAAUUCAAAUAUGAAAAAUACAAUUCAAUUCUAAUACAUCAAGGAUGGUCUAGUGAUUAGAUCAAAAAUAAAUAACAAAAAAGUUAAAAGCAAGAAAGAAAUAUAUCACAC